GACGAACGCUGGCGGCGUGCUUAACACAUGCAAGUCGAACGGAAAGGCCUUUUUCGUGUGGUAUUCUAGUGUCGAACGGGUGAGUAUCACAUGAGUAUCCCGCCCUCUACUUUUGGGUAACUUUAGAGAACUGUGGCUAUUAUCCGAUAGCAGCUCCUGCGUCACGUGGGGGGUUGUGAAGUUUCUGCGGUGGUGGGGAUGGUCUCGCGGUGUAUCAGCUUGUUGGGGGGGUAGUGGGUUCCCGACGCUUUCGUGGGUCGCCGGGCUGAGAGGGUGCCCGGCCACAUUGGGACCGAGGUGCGGCCCAAGCUCCUACGGGAGGCAGCAGGGGGGAAUAUUGCACAAUGGGUGGAAGGCUGGUGCAGCAACGCCGGGUGCGGGAAGGCGGGCUUCGGGUUGUAAAACGGUUUCGGUCAGGAAGAAGGUUUGUGUGACGGUAGUGGGUAAAGAAGCACCGGCUAACUACGUG
rnacentral:rRNA from 1 species